UACGAAGGGUGCAAGCGUUAAUCGGAAUUACUGGGCGUAAAGCGUGCGUAGGCGGUCUUUUAAGUCCGAUGUGAAAGCCCUGGGCUCAACCUGGGAACUGCAUCCGAAACUGCCUUGCUCGAGUAUGGGAGAGGGAAGUGGAAUUUCCGGUGUAGCGGUGAAAUGCGUAGAUAUCGGAAGGAACAUCAGUGGCGAAGGCGACUUCCUGGACCAAUACUGACGCUCAGGUGCGAAAGCGUGGGGAGCAAACAGG
rnacentral:rRNA from 1 species